rnacentral:misc_RNA from 1 species
UUCAUAGUGGUUGCAACUAGAUUUUUGCUCUAAUAGAACCCAAUUUAAUUCUCACGAUGAAAAUGAGCCGGGGAAAUAUGGUUGAAGG